UUAUUUAUCCUUCAAAAUUGUUUAAGAGACAUUUCUCGCCACAAACCGGCGUCAUUGCGUUAAAUCAAAAUAAACGCACAUAAAAUAAAGUUCUCCAAAUUAUCAACAUUAAUUUGUAAUUAAUUAGUUCUAUUAAUAUUAUUUAUGUUUAUAUUGAAAAAUAAACAUAAUCAAAUAGUUUUUUCUGAAUUUAAGGAAAUUAGGGUUAUCUUUGACGUUUGUCUUGCUGUCAACAAUCAUAAUGAAAUAUCAUUAUGAUUUGGUAUAUGAAAUAUGUAUGGAAUUUUCAUUUAAGAAAAGGAAUUUGAAUUUUGCUGAAUACUGUUGCUUAUGAUACUUAUAAAUUAAUUGAAUAUUGAAUUAUGAAGCAGUGUUACAGGGGAAAAUGUGACAUUUUGGAAAGUUGAAGUGUACUGAAAAUGACUGAAAAUUUAGGAAAAGUGGGAUCAUUUAUUAAAUGUAGUACCAUUAUAUGAUUAAAUUGGUUUGACUUUUGUUUAUUAAGUGAUUGUUAACUAUUUUGUUAUAUAUAUAUAGGCGUACAAGUUUAAGUUCACUAUUAAUGGCCUUAUUCACAUCUGCUCCAGUGGCGCAAUUGGUUAGCGCACGGGCGAGUCGAUUGAAUUCUAGUAUUGUAGAACGGCUUGAGAGUUAGUGAAAUACCCUCUAAUUUGGCACUUCACUUCUGAAUAAUGAUAAAAUUAAGCCAUUGAAUUUUCAAGAAAUUACGCUAGAAGCUUUAAAAAAUACGAAACUCAAAUUAAUUCUUUAACCCGGGAAGAUUAGUUGCUUCGAAUAGAAAUAUGUAAAGUGUCAAAAAGGACAAUGAAACACGUGCAUUUUCUACAAGAGGUGUUAAUUUUAUUUGGUUUGGGUGUAUACAUAAGGAAUACAAUGUCACAGUAAAUCUUAUGAAUAACAAUUUGUAUUUUAUUAAGGAUGAUCGGAGGUAAGGUUUUAAUUUAAUAUUCGUGCAACGCUAAAUGAAAAUAAAAUGCUUUCAGUGCAAAAUGACUAUCAUUUAACAAAAAUUAUGACAAUGAAGCGUUUGAUUUGAUCUUUUCUUUUUGUUCUUGCUACAAGUAUUGAUACAAAUGAUUCAUGAAUUCGAAGAAGGUUAUUAUUUUUAAUUUCUUUUUCUGUCAAAAAUGAGACUUUUCUCUUCAUUCCCAUCUUAUAUAUUUUUAUUUUUAUAUUUAUUUCAAAAGAAAUAACACAUUUUAUUUCUUUCUGUUUUUAAUUGUUUUUAAUUCAAUAAUGUCUUAAACAUUCUUAUAAGGAAAUAAUUUCCUAUUUUCUAGAAUAAAAAUCAUAAUUUAUUGUAAUUGAUUCAACAUAUGUUGCAAUUAACUUUCAACAUUGCACUUUAAUUUUUUACCUUUAUACAAUUAUAAAAGAAUUAUGAUUUUCAAAUUUAUUAAAAUAAGUUAAUUUACUUUUCAUUUAUACAAGUUCUCAAACUCAAAAUACUAUACCUAACAAAUAGUCAUUUAUUUUGAACUUUAAAAAGUAAUUCAAUUUCUCUUAUUUAAAAAUUUAAUCAAUGGCUUAACUCGAAAUAAAUGAUUUAUGCAUAUAGUUUAGUAAUUUUUAAUAACAAGUAAUAUAAAUGAAAUAUAAACAUUGGUUAUAUGCUUAAGAGAAGAUAUUGAGAUAAUUUCGUAAUAUUUCUAAAAUUUAAUAAGAAAGUUUUCUUGGUGAUUUGAGCACCAGCUCAUUCUUUUUUUAUUUUAUUUAUGAAUUAUCUAUGUGUUAUUUUUUUAAAUAUUUUCCAACUCUGACUUUAAACAGUGAAUAUUCUAAUCUUACAUAUCUCAUCACAACAAGUUUUUUUUGGAGUUUGAUUUUAUGAGUACGGCACUCACGUACAAUGUGUAAUUCUUACAAAAUAAAAAUUAUCUUCGUCACUUUCACACCUUUUCUUUUCUUUUUUUUUUUUGCAAAUUUUCUUUGUAAUUAUAACACGUUUAUUUCUCUUAUAAUAACUUUUAUACCUCUCCGUUAAUAUUUGCACCAUGAACUAGUUUAAUGAUGUGCAAGUAUAAAUUUUAUUUAUUCGCUAAAAGGAUUAUUCCUUUUUGUUAUUAAAAGAAACAAAUGGAGAGUUACACAUUGAAACUAUAUUUGAUGAAAUUAAAUAGGAAUCUUAUUACAGCUAUCACUUAAAACAAGUGUUUUGUAAAUUCUAAAUUUCUGAUUGUUGAAAAACUUAAUCGAAAAAUCUAUUUGCUUUUUUAAAAAUAAAUAUGAGAUUCCCUUGAAAGUUGAGAGUGAUUUAACAAUGUACGAAAAGUUUCCUUUGAAAAAUUGAAGACUUUAUAAAAACGGCAGUAAUUGGCACACUCGUGUAACAAUAUACAUAUUGUGUGUUAAUAUGUGGUGUUAGUAUGUAAGGCAAUAAACCUUUGGGUUUUAUUUCUCUUCUUUUAUCUGUUUAAUAUGUAUAAGUGUAAAAAAAGGAUUUAUGUUUCAGAAUGUGCAAAUAGGUAUUUGUUAAUGAAGAAAUAUUCUGUGUGCAUCACCGUCGAAAAGGAAGACGAAAAUGAUAGAAAUAAUGUCUUCUAUAUGUAAGGAAAGAAUAAAAUUCCUCUCUUAUAUUUGAAUAAGAAGAAAAAUAUUUACUUCUUUUUUUAAUUGCCAUAUUUUCAUGGAAUAAUCUGACUUUUUUUUUAUUAUUUUGAGCUUCUCGUAAGAGGGGGGAAAUUCAAAGAGAAGAGGAGAAUCGGACAACUUUGGAAUUAAUUUUUCAUUUGUGUCACAGCCAAGACUGGUGUCGCAAAAAAUCUGUUUUUUUUUGUGGUAUUUCUAUAUCAAAAUAGACAUAUCACUCGCGAUUUUCGGAGUCUUCUCUUUAAGUUUCAAAGGGACUAUAUUUUUUUUCACGGCCUGGAGAUUUAAAUACAAUUGAAAAAAUAGCCUUAAACAAUUGUUAAAUACUAUACAAUCUGACAAACUCGUCAAUUUCAAUUCUCCGUUUUCUUUUUUAAUACAUACAAUAACAACUCUCGAUUUUCUUGAAUGUUUUCCUAUUUUUGUUUAUUGAAUUCUUUACUUUCGUUACUAUAUAGUGAGAAUAUUCAUUGAAUCGAGAUAAGGUCAGAUAAUCUUUGCGCGAUAUAAUAUUCUAUAUUUUCUGUCUUUGCUUAUACUUUCCAACGCUACAGCACCUACGAUCAUGUUUUUUAAUUAAGUUAAAUUAAAUAAUUUCUAUUUGCAGAAAAUAGGUGAAUAUUUGGAAAUAUAAUUUUUUUGUAAUGAGGAAAUCG